AGAGUAUGUACGUGUGAUCAGAGAGAAGAUUAAGGAUGGAAAGACUGGAAAGAAGAAACGAACAGAUAGAUAACACAACAAACUGAAGAGUGGAAGAUACAUGGAGGGAAAGAGAAAUGAGGUUAAAAAAGGAGGGCAUUUUUCAUUUGAUACAUGCCAUUAUUGUCUUCUGUGUUAUUG
rnacentral:lncRNA from 1 species